ACCUCCGUGGGGCAGUGGUGAGCCCUCUGACCUUAUAAGUGGGAGGUCCCGGGUUCGAUUCCCGGCAGGGGCA